rnacentral:rRNA from 1 species
AGUGAACGCUGGCGGUAGGCCUAACACAUGCAAGUCGAACGGCAGCACAGUAAGAGCUUGCUCUUACGGGUGGCGAGUGGCGGACGGGUGAGGCAUACAUCGGAAUCUACUUUUUCGUGGGGGAUAACGUAGGGAAAGUUACGCUAAUACCGCAUACGACCUACGGGUGAAAGCAGGGGAUCUUCGGAUCUUGCUGGUUAGAAUGAGCGGACGUCGGAUUAGCUAGUUGGCGGGGUAAAGGCCCACCAAGGCGACGAUCCGUAGCUGGUCUGAGAGGAUGAUCAGCCACACUGGAACUGAGACACGGUCCAGACUCCUACGGGAGGCAGCAGUGGGGAAUAUUGGACAAUGGGCGCAAGCCUGAUCCAGCCAUACCGCGUGAGUGAAGAAGGCCUUCGGGUUGUAAAGCCCUGUUGUUAGGGAAGAAAAGCAGCAGGUUAAUACCCCGCUGUUCUGACGGUACCCAAAGAAUAAGCACCGGCUAACUACGUG